ACUCGAGUGGCGAACGGGUGAGUAACACGUGGGUGAUCUGCCCUGCACUUCGGGAUAAGCCUGGGAAACUGGGUCUAAUACCGGAUAGGAGCCAUUUUUAGUGUGAUGGUUGGAAAGUUUUUCGGUGUAGGAUGAGCUCGCGGCCUAUCAGUUUGUUGGUGGGGUAAUGGCCUACCAAGGCGGCGACGGGUAGCCGGCCUGAGAGGGUGGACGGCCACAUUGGGACUGAGAUACGGCCCAG
rnacentral:rRNA from 1 species